GCCCCUGUAGCUCAGUGGAUAGAGCGUCCCCCUCCUAAGGGGAAGGUCGCAGGUUCGAUUCCUGCCAGGGGCGCCA
rnacentral:tRNA from 1 species